rnacentral:misc_RNA from 1 species
UUUCCGUAGGUGAACCUGCGGAAGGAUCAUUAAUGAAUAUUAGGGUGCUCCUCUUCAUCAGAGAGACCCGACCUUCAUUUCCAACACUGUGAACCAAACUAGAGGGAUUUGCCUAACGGCGAUGAACUCUAUUCACUUUAAAACUCUUCAGUUUAAGAAUGUAAACAAACCAAAACAAAAAAAACUUUCAACAACGGAUCUCUUGGCUCUCGCAUCGAUGAAGAACGCAGC